GAUGAACGCUGGCGGCGUGCCUAAUACAUGCAAGUCGAGCGAACAGAUGAGGAGCUUGCUCCUCUGACGUUAGCGGCGGACGGGUGAGUAACACGUGGAUAACCUACCUAUAAGACUGGGAUAACUUCGGGAAACCGGAGCUAAUACCGGAUAAUAUAUCGAACCGCAUGGUUCAAUAGUGAAAGACGGUUUUGCUGUCACUUAUAGAUGGAUCCGCGCCGCAUUAGCUAGUUGGUAAGGUUACGGCUUACCAAGGCAACGAUGCGUAGCCGACCUGAGAGGGUGAUCGGCCACACUGGAACUGAGACACGGUCCAGACUCCUACGGGAGGCAGCAGUAGGGAAUCUUCCGCAAUGGGCGAAAGCCUGACGGAGCAACGCCGCGUGAGUGAUGAAGGUCUUCGGAUCGUAAAACUCUGUUAUUAGGGAAGAACAAAUGUGUAAGUAACUAUGCACGUCUUGACGGUACCUAAUCAGAAAGCCACGGCUAACUACGUG
rnacentral:rRNA from 1 species